rnacentral:rRNA from 1 species
GACGAAGGUGGCGAGCGUUGUUCGGAAUCACUGGGCAUAAAGCGCACGUAGGCGGUGUCGUAAGUCGGGUGUGAAAUCCCUCGGCCUAACCGAGGAACUGCGCCCGAUACUGCGAUGCUUGAGGACCAGAGGGGUGCAUGGAAUUUCCGGUGGAGCGGUGAAAUGCGUUGAUAUCGGAAGGAACUCCGGCGGCGAAAGCGAUGCACUGGCUGGUUUCUGACGCUGAGGUGCGAAAGCUAGGGGAGCAAACAGG